rnacentral:tRNA from 1 species
AGGGAUACAGCUCAGUUGGUAGAGUGUUUGCCUCCCGUACAAAAGGCCUUGGGUUCAAUCCCCAGCACCACAA